ACAUGCAGUCGAGCGGCAGCGGGAAGAUAGCUUGCUAUCUUUGCCGGCGAGCGGCGGACGGGUGAGUAAUGCCUAGGGAUCUGCCCAGUCGAGGGGGAUAACAGUUGGAAACGACUGCUAAUACCGCAUACGCCCUACGGGGGAAAGGAGGGGACCUUCGGGCCUUCCGCGAUUGGAUGAACCUAGGUGGGAUUAGCUAGUUGGUGAGGUAAUGGCUCACCAAGGCGACGAUCCCUAGCUGUUCUGAGAGGAUGAUCAGCCACACUGGGACUGAGACACGGCCCAGACUCCUACGGGAGGCAGCAGUGGGGAAUAUUGCACAAUGGGGGAAACCCUGAUGCAGCCAUGCCGCGUGUGUGAAGAAGGCCUUCGGGUUGUAAAGCACUUUCAGUAGGGAGGAAAGGUAGCAGCUUAAUACGCUGUUGCUGUGACGUUACCUACAGAAGAAGGACCGGCUAACUCCGUGCCAGCAGCCGCGGUAAUACGGAGGGUCCGAGCGUUAAUCGGAAUUACUGGGCGUAAAGCGUGCGCAGGCGGUUUGUUAAGCGAGAUGUGAAAGCCCCGGGCUCAACCUGGGAAUUGCAUUUCGAACUGGCGAACUAGAGUCUUGUAGAGGGGGGUAGAAUUCCAGGUGUAGCGGUGAAAUGCGUAGAGAUCUGGAGGAAUACCGGUGGCGAAGGCGGCCCCCUGGACAAAGACUGACGCUCAGGCACGAAAGCGUGGGGAGCACACAGG
rnacentral:rRNA from 1 species